AGGAUUCAGGGGUGUGGCCUCCCAUUGUUCAGGGUGGGCUCAUAAGAUGGUGCCUCUGAGACCUCUGGACCAGACCACCACAAGGCAUCAAGAUGGCGAAAGCGACUAAGAAGACGCACAAUCUGACACAGGAUGUUGAGCCAGCAACCUCGACAUCCAAACCCAAGACAGUGAAGAUUUGCUGUCGUCAGUCCUGUUCCAAAUGUAGCAAGAAGAUAAGGAGACCCAAGGUGCAGAAGCCUAAAAAGAAGAGCAAGAAAACACUGCCAAGCAUGCCUAACAGAAAGACUACUAAGAAACCUACACCACCUAAAAAAAGGACCAAUAAAGGCAAAGGGAAAGAACUAUUUGGUCACUACCGCCGUUUGCUGAAAGAGCUGUCAACAGGUACUGGGAAGGAGCAAGUGAGUAAGAGUGCCAGUAGACUCAGCAAGCCAACCAAAGACCUGGGAAUCUGUGAAAAGGAUUGGCAGCUGAGCAAUGCCAAACUGUGUCAUCUCAAUAUAUAAGUACUACACAGCUCUUUGACUGUGGUGAAAAUAAACUCAGAUAUGAAAA
rnacentral:lncRNA from 1 species